rnacentral:tRNA from 1 species
GAGGGUAUAGCUCAGUGGUAGAAUGUGUGCCCAGCAUGCACAAGGUCAUGGUUUGAUCCCUGGUACCUCCA